rnacentral:rRNA from 1 species
CCUGCGGACUGACGGAUACAUUACCGAGUUCUCGGGCUUCGGCCCGAAUCUCCCACCCUUUGUGAACAUACCUCUGUUGCUUUGGCGGCUCUUGCCGCGUGGAGGCCCUCAAAAGCCCCCCCGCGCGCGCUUCCGCCAGAGGACCAUCAAACUCCAGUCAGUGAACGUCGACGUCUGAAAAAACAAGUUAAUAAACUAAAACUUUCAACAACGGAUCUCUUGGUUCUGGCAUCGAUGAAGAACGCAGCGAAAUGCGAUAAGUAAUGUGAAUUGCAGAAUUCAGUGAAUCAUCGAAUCUUUGAACGCACAUUGCGCCCCUUGGCAUUCCGAGGGGCAUGCCUGUUCGAGCGUCAUUACAACCCUCAAGCUCUGCUUGGUAUUGGGCGCCGUCCUCUCUGCGGACGCGCCUCAAAGACCUCGGCGGCGGCUGUUCAGCCCUCAAGCGUAGUAGAAUACACCUCGCUUUGGAGCGGUUGGCGUCGCCCGCCGGACGAACCUUCUGAACUUUUCUCAAGGUUGACCUCGGAUCAGGUAGAUCAGU